UAGGGAAUCUUCCACAAUGGACGCAAGUCUGAUGGAGCAACGCCGCGUGAGUGAAGAAGGUUUUCGGAUCGUAAAGCUCUGUUGUUGGUGAAGAAGGAUAGAGGUAGUAACUGGCCUUUAUUUGACGGUAAUCAACCAGAAAGUCACGGCUAACUACGUGCCAGCAGCCGCGGUAAUACGUAGGUGGCAAGCGUUGUCCGGAUUUAUUGGGCGUAAAGCGAGCGCAGGCGGAAGAAUAAGUCUGAUGUGAAAGCCCUCGGCUUAACCGAGGAAUUGCAUCGGAAACUGUUUUUCUUGAGUGCAGAAGAGGAGAGUAGAACUCCAUGUGUAGCGGUGGAAUGCGUAGAUAUAUGGAAGAAUACCAGUGGCGAAGGCGGCUGUCUGGUCUGCAACUGACGCUGAGGCUCGAAAGCAUGGGUAGCGAACAGGAUUAGAUACCCUGGUAGUCCAUGCCGUAAAACGAUGAGUGCUAAGUGUUGGGAGGCUUCCGCCUCUCAGUGCUGCAGCUAACGCAUUAAGCACUCCGCCUGGGGGAGUACGACCGCAAGGUUGAAAC
rnacentral:rRNA from 1 species